rnacentral:lncRNA from 1 species
GACUGGAUGAGGAAGCCCUGGGGAACCAGAGGGACUCAGCUCCUUCCUUUACUGCCAUCCCUCUUUCUCUCCCCGCUCCCUUCCCAGACCCACUGCUUCUACCUGGGGAAACAGCUUGCUAAAGGCCUUUCCUCUGCCCACCGGCCCAGAAAUUGCUUUAAGGAGUGGCCUGCUGUCAUUUUUUACUGAGGAAGACAUAAAAACACUUUCUGGUGCUGGAGGCGGGAAAUCUGGUCUACAAGUAACUAGUUGUAUGAUCUAUUCUACAAUGAAGGCACUAAAAGAUGGUAUCACUUGGCUAAGGUCCCACAGUUUCUGGG